rnacentral:rRNA from 1 species
GAUGAACGCUGGCGGCGUGCUUAACACAUGCAAGUCGAACGAAGCACCUUGAUUCGAUUCUUCGGAUGAAGAUCUUGGUGACUGAGUGGCGGACGGGUGAGUAACGCGUGGGUAACCUGCCUCAUACAGGGGGAUAACAGUUAGAAAUGACUGCUAAUACCGCAUAAGACCACAGCACCGCAUGGUGCAGGGGUAAAAACUCCGGUGGUAUGAGAUGGACCCGCGUCUGAUUAGGUAGUUGGUGGGGUAACGGCCUACCAAGCCGACGAUCAGUAGCCGACCUGAGAGGAUGACCGGCCACAUUGGGACUGAGACACGGCCCAAACUCCUACGGGAGGCAGCAGUGGGGAAUAUUGCACAAUGGGGGAAACCCUGAUCCAGCGACGCCGCGUGAGUGAUGAAGUAUUUCGGUAUGUAAAGCUCUAUCAGCAGGGAAGAAAAUGACGGUACCUGACGAAGAAGCACCGGCUAAAUACGUG